rnacentral:rRNA from 1 species
GGUCAUGCGUCGCAUUAGCUAGUUGGCGGGGUAACGGCCCACCAAGGCGACGAUGCGUAGGGGUUCUGAGAGGAAGGUCCCCCACACUGGUACUGAGACACGGACCAGACUCCUACGGGAGGCAGCAGUGAGGAAUAUUGGUCAAUGGCCGCAGGGCUGAACCAGCCAAGUCGCGUGAGGGAUGACGGUCCUAUGGAUUGUAAACCUCUUUUGUCAGGGAGCAAAGGGCGCCACGUGUGGCGCUUUGCGGGUACCUGAAGAAAAAGCAUCGGCUAACUCCGUGCCAGCAGCCGCGGUAAUACGGAGGAUGCGAGCGUUAUCCGGAUUUAUUGGGUUUAAAGGGUGCGCAGGCGGAAUGUCAAGUCAGCGGUAAAAUUUCGGGGCUCAACCCCGUCGUGCCGUUGAAACUGGCGUUCUUGAGUGAGCGAGAAGUAUGCGGAAUGCGUGGUGUAGCGGUGAAAUGCAUAGAUAUCACGCAGAACUCCGAUUGCGAAGGCAGCAUACCGGCGCUCAACUGACGCUCAUGCACGAAAGCGUGGGUAUCGAACAGGAUUAGAUACCCUGGUAGUCCACGCAGUAAACGAUGAAUACUAACUGUCCGGG